rnacentral:rRNA from 1 species
CAAGACCUCGCGCGUGAAGAGGAGCCCGCGCCCGAUUAGCUAGUCGGCGGGGUAAGAGCCCACCAAGGCUUCGAUCGGUAGCCGGCCUGAGAGGGCGGUCGGCCACACUGGCACUGAGACACGGGCCAGACUCCUACGGGAGGCAGCAGUGGGGAAUUAAAUGGGCAAUGGGCGAAAGCCUGACCCAGCAACGCCGCGUGAAGGACGAAAUCCCUCUGGGAUGUAAACUUCGAAAGUCGGGGAAGGAAUCGCGCAGGAUGACCCUGCGUGGAUGACGGUACCCGACGUAAGCCCCGGCUAACUACGUGCCAGCAGCCGCGGUAAUACGUAGGGGGCAAGCGUUGUUCGGAAUUAUUGGGCGUAAAGGGGGCGUAGGCGGCACAGCAAGUCGGGAGUGAGGGCCCGGGGCUCAACCCCGGAACUGCUUUCGAAACUGCUGAGCUAGAGUACAGAAGGGGCAACCGGAAUUCCCAGUGUAGCGGUGAAAUGCGUAGAUAUGGGGAAGAACACCUGAGGCGAAGGCGGGUUGCUGGGCUGAUACUGACGCUGAGGCGCGAAAGCCAGGGGAGCAAACGGGAUUAGAUACCCCGGUAGUCCUGGCCCUAAACGAUGGAUACUUGGUGUGUGGGGUUCUCUGAGUCCCCGCGUGCCGGAGCUAACG